rnacentral:lncRNA from 1 species
UUUUUUUUUUUUUUUAAAUAGUCUUGAAGCAUCUGCGUACCUGAAGUGAUGUAAACUGGGGAAUGUGGGUCAGACUGGUGAUUGUUCCCACCAGAUCUGUGGCUCCUAGAAUCCAUCUGAUCUCUCUCCACUCAUGCUCUGGGCCAGGCCUGCCUCAUCUUCUGGAUCUGGAUGUUCAUGCACUAGAGCAGGCCAUCCACUAUUUCAUGCCGAUGCCUUUACUCACUCUAUUCUCUUUGCUAAAAAUCUCUUUUCUUGGGAAUCCAUGUUCUGCUUCAAGACUCAAUUCGAAUGCUACCAUACAAGUAGAGCUCCCCUCAAUCCACUUCAGGCUACUCUGCUUCCCUUAGAAUUUGUUCUUACCACUCUCAUAGUAGUCAUGUUUCUGUUUCCACAUCUGCCUCCCCACUGGAGGGUGUGCUGUCUGGAACACACUGGUCAUAUUGAUCUGUGGAUCCCAGAACUUGGCUCAAUAUUGCUCACUGAGUAUUUGUUAAUGCUGUUGGUCCUCACCCAGAGUAGACCCUUGGUGGAAGGUGUGAGCCAGAAAGGUCUCACACUCCUCAGAAGCAAUGGUAUAUCUGCAUGCCAAUGAGUCGUGAGUGGCAUAUGUCAUGCUGCCCUUUCCUUGCCAGACAACAGUCCCAUCCUGACAAGGUCCCAUGGUGCCAGGCUGAUUGCAAGACAGGGUACCUCUCACCUCUAACAAAACCACAGCUUUGGCCUGUUGGCACCCCAUGUGAUAGAGAUGCAACACCUGGCUGCCAUCUGCAUCCUUCCUCCCUAGCCUUGGACAGCUGAAUCCUGUAGUUAUGCCCUCAUCCUUUGGCUCUACUGAGUCCUUUUGCUGCACUAAACAGAGCCCUUGAGAGUGGUUUUGAGUGGGAAGAGAGGGCUGGAGGCAUCCUUCCUGUCCUCCUCCCUCUCCCUCCUCCUGGCUGGCUGCAGCUGUGCUGUGCGAUGGGGAAGUGAGCACAGUCUUAAUUACUGCUCAGCCCUGCUCAUUAGUGCCUCUGGAAGCCAGAGAAGCCCCGAGUUAGGAUGUCUCGAUCACAGUGGAGGCCAGGGCCCCAGGUUUCCUGGCUGAUCGCUACUCCCAUUUCUCAGGGAUUGAGUCUGUGUGACUGUGGAUCCCUUUUUGGGCCUCCUGAGGGAAAUGUCCUUCCCCAGGACGGGAAAAGCGCUAGAGCUGGAGAGAAGAGAGGGAAGAAUGGGCCCCCUCGUGGGCUCUCACUCGUGUGUACAGAGCAUCACGGGGACAACAUAUGGUGGAACAUGUGAAACUCCAGUGCAAUCAGAGAAAAAUGAACAAAUGAUUAAAUAAACCACAUGUGCUUAAAUCCAGCACAUUGAUGACUACCUUUGGAGGGACUUAGGCAAGCGACUGGUGCAUUGUUCAGCCACUAUUUUUUUUUUUUUUUUUGGUAGUGAAAUGGAAAAAAAAGAACUGUAAGUUGCUGAAUACUGAACAAAAGAAAGCCGAGUGAAGUGGGAGGGGGGAGAGGGGGAGGGCUGGAAAUUGUAAAUGAAUAGGCCCGGUACAAAGUCCUUCACAAUACCAACUUGUAAACACCCUAGAAGAUCAUAUGAGAUAAUACACAUGAAAGCACUUUUUGAACUGUAAAAGGCUUUGGAAAUAUACGGUAUUAUUAGGUAAUAUUUCUGCUCAGCGCAGACUAUAGAACAGAUGCUACGAGGAGGCUGGAGAUUUAUGAUAAUGACUCAUCACCCACAAGGUACUCACACAGUUUAGGCUGGUUUAUUUAAUUAGUCAUUGCCUCUCACAUACACUACUGUGCAAGCCUUCUAAGGAGCCUGCCCACCUCCACCUUCUCGCUGUUCCAUUCAUCCUUUAUGCCACCACCAGAUUAAUUUUCCUGAUGUGGAGCUCUCAUCAGAUACUUACAAUGAUUCUCUUGCCCACUUCAUAGAGCUUGGAGACCUGGGUUUAGCAAUCCAGAUCAUACUCUGCUCCGACACGACUCUCCCAACCUGAUUUCCCUCCUUCCACACUGUAGACGUAGACUCGGGGAGAUCUAGUCAUUUAUCCAACACCACACAGACACAAAGUGGCAGGUCCCCUAAUCAAACCAACAAACCCCAGACACCUGACUCUAAAACCACUGCUCUUUGUAGCCCCUCUCUUUUUCCCUUUGAUAGAUAAGACACAAUGAAGAUCUUCCCACAAAGAGCUUUUUCUCUUCUUUGGAAAAAAUUUCCUCAGGACAAACUCCCAAGAGUGGGAUUACCAAUUCAAAACACAUUAAUAUUUUUAUGGCUACAUGAAUUGACAUAUACUCGGCCAAAGGGCUGAGCUGAUUUAUAUUUUAGCCGGUGAUAAAUACACACAGCUUUCACCAGACCCUCCCUGCCACUGGGGGGUAAUCUUUGAAUAAAUUGCUUAUUAA